UAGGGAAUCUUCGGCAAUGGGGGGAACCCUGACCGAGCAACGCCGCGUGAGUGAAGAAGGUUUUCGGAUCGUAAAGCUCUGUUGUUAAGGAAGAACGAGUGUGAGAAUGGAAAGUUCAUGCUGUGACGGUACUUAACCAGAAAGGGACGGCUAACUACGUGCCAGCAGCCGCGGUAAUACGUAGGUCCCGAGCGUUGUCCGGAUUUAUUGGGCGUAAAGCGAGCGCAGGCGGUUAGAAAAGUCUGAAGUGAAAGGCAGUGGCUCAACCAUUGUAGGCUUUGGAAACUGUUUAACUUGGGUGCAGAAGGGGAGAGUGGAAUUCCAUGUGUAGCGGUGAAAUGCGUAGAUAUAUGGAGGAACACCGGUGGCGAAAGCGGCUCUCUGGUCUGUAACUGACGCUGAGGCUCGAAAGCGUGGGUAGCAAACAGG
rnacentral:rRNA from 1 species